CGGAGAGUUUGAUCCUGGCUCAGAUUGAACGCUGGCGGCAUGCCUUACACAUGCAAGUCGAACGGCAGCACGGAGCUUGCUCUGGUGGCGAGUGGCGAACGGGUGAGUAAUAUAUCGGAACGUACCCUGGAGUGGGGGAUAACGUAGCGAAAGUUACGCUAAUACCGCAUACGAUCUACGGAUGAAAGUGGGGGAUCGCAAGACCUCAUGCUCGUGGAGCGGCCGAUAUCUGAUUAGCUAGUUGGUAGGGUAAAAGCCUACCAAGGCAUCGAUCAGUAGCUGGUCUGAGAGGACGACCAGCCACACUGGAACUGAGACACGGUCCAGACUCCUACGGGAGGCAGCAGUGGGGAAUUUUGGACAAUGGGCGAAAGCCUGAUCCAGCAAUGCCGCGUGAGUGAAGAAGGCCUUCGGGUUGUAAAGCUCUUUUGUCAGGGAAGAAACGGUGAGGGCUAAUAUCUCUUGCUAAUGACGGUACCUGAAGAAUAAGCACCGGCUAACUACGUGCCAGCAGCCGCGGUAAUACGUAGGGUGCAAGCGUUAAUCGGAAUUACUGGGCGUAAAGCGUGCGCAGGCGGUUUUGUAAGUCUGAUGUGAAAUCCCCGGGCUCAACCUGGGAAUUGCAUUGGAGACUGCAAGGCU
rnacentral:rRNA from 1 species